GUCUAUGUGCACAGCACCUGAGCAUGCCCGAUCUGAUCUGAUCUUGGAAGCUAGGCAGGACCGGGCUGCUUAGUACUGGGAUGGAAAAUGGGAGAAGGAGAAAGUUGGAAG
rnacentral:rRNA from 1 species